rnacentral:rRNA from 1 species
UACGUAGGGUGCAAGCGUUUAAUCGGAAUUACUGGGCGUAAAGCGUGCGCAGGCGGUUGUGCAAGACAGAUGUGAAAUCCCCCGGGCUUAACCUGGGAAUUGCAUUUGUGACUGUACGGCUAGAGUGUGUCAGAGGGGGGUAGAAUUCCACGUGUAGCAGUGAAAUGCGUAGAGAUGUGGAGGAAUACCGAUGGCGAAGGCAGCCCCCUGGGAUAACACUGACGCUCAUGCACGAAAGCGUGGGGGAGCAAACAGG